UACAGAGGUCCCAAGCGUUGUUCGGAUUCAUUGGGCGUAAAGGGUGCGUAGGCGGCGCGGUAAGUCGGGUGUGAAAUCUCGGGGCUUAACUCCGAAACUGCAUUCGAUACUGCCGUGCUUGAGGACUGGAGAGGAGACUGGAAUUCACGGUGUAGCAGUGAAAUGCGUAGAUAUCGUGAGGAAGACCAGUGGCGAAGGCGGGUCUCUGGACAGUUCCUGACACUGAGGCACGAAGGCCAGGGGAGCAAACGGG
rnacentral:rRNA from 1 species